rnacentral:rRNA from 1 species
GGAGGGGGCAAGCGUUAUUCGGAUUUACUGGGCGUAAAGCGCACGUAGGUGGCAUGGUAAGUCAAAGGUGAAAGCCCUCGGCCCAACCGAGGAAUUGCCUUUGAAACUGCCUUGCUUGAGUCCGGGAGGGGGGAGCGGAAUUCCCAGUGUAGCGGUGAAAUGCGUAGAUACUGGGAGGAACACCGGUGGCGAAGGCGGCUCCCUGGACCGGUACUGACACUGAGGUGCGAAAGCGUGGGUAGCAAACAGGAUUAGAUACCCUGGGUAGUCCACGCCGUAAACGAUGGGCACUAGGUGCAGCGGGUGUCGACCCCCCUGCUGUGCCGUAGUUAACGCAUUAAGUGCCCCGCCUGGGGAGUACGGUCGCAAGGCUG